UGCUCAGUUGGCAAGCGGUGGACUGUUGAUCCAUAGGUCGCUGGUUCGACUCCGGCUCGAAAAA
rnacentral:tRNA from 1 species